UACGUAGGGUGCAAGCGUUGUCCGGAAUUAUUGGGCGUAAAGAGCUCGUAGGCGGCUUGUUGCGUCAGCUGUGAAAACCCGCAGCUCAACUGUGGGCUUGCAGCUGAUACGGGCAGGCUUGAGUUCGGUAGGGGAGACUGGAAUUCCCGGUGUAGCAGUGAAAUGCGCAGAGAUCGGGAGGAACACCAGUGGCGAAGGCGGCCUUCUGGACCAAUACUGACGCUCAUGCACGAAAGCGUGGGGAGCAAACAGG
rnacentral:rRNA from 1 species